CAGCAGCCGCGGUAAUACAGAGGGUGAGAGCGUUAAUCGGAUUUACUGGGCGUAAAGCGUGCGUAGGCGGCUUCUUAAGUCGGAUGUGAAAUCCCUGAGCUUAACUUAGGAAUUGCAUUCGAUACUGGGAAGCUAGAGUAUGGGAGAGGAUGGUAGAAUUCCAGGUGUAGCGGUGAAAUGCGUAGAGAUCUGGAGGAAUACCGAUGGCGAAGGCAGCCAUCUGGCCUAAUACUGACGCUGAGGUACGAAAGCAUGGGGAGCAAACAGGAUUAGAUACCCCAGUAGUCCCUGUCUCUUAUAA
rnacentral:rRNA from 1 species